AUAACUCACUUUCACUACGGAUCGUUCGGCACGUACCUGCCGAUGAAGGGACUCUGA
rfam:Renibacterium salmoninarum ATCC 33209, complete genome.